rnacentral:rRNA from 1 species
UACGUAGGGUGCGAGCGUUGUCCGGAAUUAUUGGGCGUAAAGAGCUCGUAGGCGGUGUGUCGCGUCGGCCGUGAAAACCUGGGGCUCAACUCUGGGCGUGCGGUCGAUACGGGCAUCACUUGAGUUCGGCAGGGGAGACUGGAAUUCCCGGUGUAGCGGUGAAAUGCGCAGAUAUCGGGAGGAACACCGGUGGCGAAGGCGGUUCUCUGGGCCUUACCUGACACUGAGGAGCGAAAGCGUGGGGAGCGAACAGG